rnacentral:rRNA from 1 species
AUUGAACGCUGGCGGCAUGCCUUACACAUGCAAGUCGAACGGCAGCACGGGGGCAACCCUGGUGGCGAGUGGCGAACGGGUGAGUAGUACAUCGGAACGUGCCCCGUAGCGGGGGACAACCAGUCGAAAGACUGGCUAAUACCGCAUACGCUCCACGGAGGAAAGCAGGGGAUCGCAAGACCUUGCACUAUGGGAGCGGCCGAUGCCCGAUUAGCUAGUUGGUGAGGUAAAGGCUCACCAAGGCAACGAUCGGUAGCUGGUCUGAGAGGACGACCAGCCACACUGGGACUGAGACACGGCCCAGACUCCUACGGGAGGCAGCAGUGGGGAAUUUGGACAAUGGGCGCAAGCCUGAUCCAGCCAUGCCGCGUGCGGGAAGAAGG